AUGGAAGGUUAUCGUGGCCGGCCAUGGACCAGGCUACCGGCGCUGCUGCUGGCCUGCGCCGCCGCCGCCGCCGUGGGCGAGUGCAGGGUGGUGCACGUGGGAGAGGCGCACCGGCGGAGCAUGCUGGCCAAUGGCCUCGGCGCGACGCCGCCCAUGGGGUGGAAUAGCUGGAAUCACUUCGCCUGCGACGGCAACGGCGAGGUUGUCAUCAGGGAGACCGCCGAUGCGCUUGUGUCCACCGGGCUCGCCGCUGCCGGCUACAAAUACGUCAAUCUUGAUGAUUGCUGGGCAGAACCCGAACGUGAUGCGAAGGGCAAUCUUGCGGCGAACAAGAAGACGUUCCCGCACGGGAUAAAGGCACUCGCAGACUACGUCCACAGCAAGGGGCUCAAGCUCGGCAUCUACUCCGAUGCUGGAUACAAGACAUGCGCCAAGGCUCAGCCUGGGUCCCUCGGCCACGAGGAGCAGGACGCCAAGACCUUUGCCUCCUGGGGAGUCGACUACCUCAAGUACGACAACUGCAACAACGGCGACACGAAGCCGCUGCAGAGGUACCCUGACAUGAGCAAGGCUCUGAUGCAGGCCGGCCGACCCAUCUUCUUCAACCUCUGCGAAUGGGGCGACAUGCACCCGGCGCGGUGGGGCGCGGCCUACGGCAACAGCUGGAGAACCACCAACGACAUUGAGGACACCUGGAACAGCAUGACGUCGAUGGCGGACCAGAACGAGGUGUGGGCCGAGUACGCGCGCCCCGGCGGCUGGAACGACCCGGACAUGCUGGAGGUGGGCAACGGAGGGAUGACCAACGACGAGUACAUCGUGCACUUCAGCAUCUGGGCCAUCUCAAAGGCGCCUCUGAUCAUCGGCUGCGACGUGAGGCACAUGUCGCAGGACACCUACGACAUCCUCGCCAACAAGGAGGUGAUCGCCGUCAACCAAGAUCCUCUCGGCGUACAGGGGAAGAAAGUGAGGAUGGAGGGGAGCAGCGAGAUCUGGGCUGCGCCGCUGACGGGGUACAGGACGGCGGUGCUGCUGCUGAACCGGCACGCCAAGGACGAGGCCCAGAUCACGGCGCACUGGGACGACAUCGGCCUCCCCGCCGGCACGGCCGUCGACGCCAGGGACCUCUGGCUGCACAAGACGCUCGACGCCAAGUUCACGGACAAGAUGAGCUUCAACGUGACGCCGCACGCGGCCAGGAUGUUCGUGCUCACGCCUCUCAAGUCCCAGAUGGACUAA
rnacentral:rRNA from 1 species